GGUGGCCUUCAUGGGCUGUUGAGCAGAGGUGGAGGAGAGCAGCAGGGAAGAGAUAGGGCAUCCUGGACUCCCCUCACGAGUCACCGAGGGUAAUUUUCUCAGAAGUCUAGAUGGAUGCCAGUAAGCCCUCUGUCCAGACAGGGGAGGUGAUAGAGCUCGCUUUGUGUUUCCAGUUGAAAACAAAGGCUCGUUAGGAUUCGCGGCAGCCUGUGCUGCCCUGGGGCUCCAGGGACCAGCUGGCACCUGGACGGCGGCUGUGAAAAAACACUGGAGGCAGAACUCAGCUGAGCUGCAACCUCGUGAGCUCAAGUGGGGGUCACCCCUAGCUGAGGUUACCGCUGAGGGAAUGGGGUCAUCCGCCCCGGGAGAACCUGAGCGGCUGCGCGGGGACGCGGACAAAAGCCGCUUUGUGGAGGCGGCGAGUCCUUCAACGGCGCCACCGUGUGGCAGCGCCGGGAAGCGGCGGCGGCGGCGGGCGCCGCGGAUUCUGAGGCCGUCUCUCGCACGCCCUGACCUUCUCCCACCUUCUCUGACAGGACUCCAUGGUGACGGCCUGCCCCAUGAGGCUCUGCCCAGCUCUUAGAGGGCACCACUCUCCAGGGGCUGCCCCAAACCUGGUGAUGCUCUUCAGGGCCUGGGGAGGAGGCUGAAGAGGCAGUUCUGGGCCUGAACUUCCCUGAUUCUCCCUGUCACAGCGGUUCUCAGCUCUCUCUCUCUGCCCCAUCGCCAUCCCCAAACCAUCUGCGAGGUACCAACUCUUCCCCCAAUGACUCAUAUCCCACCUCUGCCCCUGAGCAGCCCCCCACCCAACAUCCAGUCUUCUCAGGACUGCAACCUGCCUCCACAGUCAUCUCCCUGUUGCUGUCGUGUUUCCAGGGACAGACCAAUCAACAGUAACCAUCGUCUGCAAUCCCUUUCCCUUCCUCCUCACAUCCUGUCCCUGCCUAGAAGUGGGACAAUGUUGUGAUCCUCGUUUUACAGGUGACGGAGGCCCAUCACGGUUCUACUCCCAUAACGAACUCAUCCUCAGGAAGAUCACCAGUCUGGUGCCUUCACACACCCACCUGUUCCCAGGGGCCACUUCAGCCCGGCUCUGAGAUUUCACUGCAUACAACCCACGUCUACAUUUAAGGUUUCAAAGGACACCAUUCUGCAUAUUGUGCAUGUAUUUGCUCAUCAUGUCUUCAGAGCAGUUAUAGGAGAUGGGUGCUAUUACUAUCCCCAUUUUUCAUAUGAGGAAACUGAGACCCAAAGUCACAAGGCACAGCAUAUGAACCCUAGUACUGUGGCUCUGGAGCCCACAUGCUGGGCACUAUACUACAGCUGUCCAGCAACACUCCACAAAAGGCACAGGAUGGAGAGAAGAGAAACCAGAAAAAAGGGAUUUUGCCUGCAAUUUCUCCCUGUUCUCUGGAGUGACCCUAGUGUUUCCUGUGUGCUCUCCCCUCCCCCCCAUCCCUUGACAUGAUGGACCCUUUUCUCUUGGGAACUGAAAGAGAAGAAAAUCAUCCACGACAAGUAGCAGCUGUCAAAUAGGAAGCUUCAUGCUCCGGGAAAAGCGAAAUCUCCCACCAUGCAAACUCAUGAACUACAGGUUCAAGUACACUUUUCUUCUGUAGGGAAAUUGGAAAGACUGAAAUGAGCUCACCCAUCAGUGUUACCUCCAGCCUUCCUGGCUUUGUGGUAUUCUACAACUCUGA